rnacentral:rRNA from 1 species
GUGAGGAAUCUUCCGCAAUGGGCGAAAGCCUGACGGAGCGACACCGCGUGAAGGAUGAAACCCUUUUGGGCGUAAACUUCUGUUCUGAGGGACGAAAUUUUUGACGGUACCUCAGGAGAAAGCACCGGCUAAUUCUGUGCCAGCAGCCGCGGUAAGACAGAAGGUGCAAGCGUUACUCGGAAUUACUGGGCGUAAAGCGUCCGCAGGUGACCCUGCCAGUCUGGUGUCAAAUGGCGAAGCUUAACUUCGUCAACGUGCCGGAAACUACAGGGAUUGAGCCAUUCAGAGGCAUCUGGAAUGCCGUGCGUAGGGGUAAAAUCCGUUGAUCCACGGUAGAACGCCAAAAGCGAAGGCAGGAUGCUAGGAAUGUGCUGACACUCAGGGACGAAAGCGUGGGGAGCAAACCGGAUUAGAUACCCCGGUAGUCC